UUGACCUAAUAAACAAUUUUACCACAUGGCAGAUUGCUCUAAAUGCUUUGGUUUUUGAGUUAUAAGCCAAAAACUGCAUUUUACCCCUAUGUUCUAUUUUUAGCCAUGGCGGCCAUCUUGGUUCGUUGGCCAGGUCACCGGACACAUUUUUUAAACUAUAUACCCCAAUGAUGAUUAUGGCCAAGUUUGGUUGAAUUUGGCUCAGUAGUUUCAGAGGAGAAGAUUUUUCUAAAAGAUUA
rnacentral:lncRNA from 1 species